rnacentral:rRNA from 1 species
GACGAACCGUGCGAACGUUAUUCGGAAUCACUGGGCUUAAAGCGCGUGUAGGCGGCCCGGUGCAUCGUCGGCUGAAAUCCCCCGGCUCAACCGGGGAACGGGCCACGAGAUGUCCGGGCUGGAGGGGGGUAGGGGGAGCCGGAACUCACGGUGGAGCGGUGAAAUGCGUUGAGAUCGUGAGGAACGCCCGUGGCGAAAGCGGGCUCCUGGACCCCGCCUGACGCUGAGACGCGAAAGCCAGGGGAGCGAACGGG